AUUGAACGCUGGCGGCAUGCUUUACACAUGCAAGUCGAACGGCAGCGCGGGCUUCGGCCUGGCGGCGAGUGGCGAACGGGUGAGUAAUGCAUCGGAACGUGCCCAGUAGUGGGGGAUAGCCCGGCGAAAGCCGGAUUAAUACCGCAUACGACCUGAGGGUGAAAGCGGGGGACCGAAAGGCCUCGCGCUAUUGGAGCGGCCGAUGUCGGAUUAGCUAGUUGGUGGGGUAAAGGCUUACCAAGGCGACGAUCCGUAGCUGGUCUGAGAGGACGACCCGCCACACUGGGACUGAGACACGGCCCAGACUCCUACGGGAGGCAGCAGUGGGGAAUUUUGGACAAUGGGGGCAACCCUGAUCCAGCCAUGCCGCGUGCGGGAAGAAGGCCUUCGGGUUGUAAACCGCUUUUGUUCGGGAAGAAAUCCUCUGGGCUAAUACCCCGGGGGGAUGACGGUACCGGAAGAAUAAGCACCGGCUAACUACGUG
rnacentral:rRNA from 1 species